UGCAAAUUCGGAGGUCAGGGAUUCUACUGAUUUAACUAAAUUUCAUCCGGCAAAGUGAAAAACUUGUACGUCGGAUGUUUUUAGUGGGAAAUCAGUCGGAUUUCUCACCUUCGAAUCUGCAUC
rfam:Brachypodium distachyon strain Bd21 chromosome 4, whole genome shotgun sequence.